GCCUAAUUUGCCGCACUCUUUUGAAAGAUAGGUAACCAUCGUCUGUAAAGGAUCAAUAUAGUUGGGGUGCAGAUACAGGCCUUCCCCUAGGGAAACACUUGCAUCAGUAUUAGUGAGAGACCAAGUACACAUUCUGAAGCAUUCCUGUGCUUUCUGUCCACUUGUCAGGUGAUGUUUGCCACGUAUGACUGUCCAUCAGCCAGGAGAUGAACCCCCACCCGUGAGGCAGUGACUCAAGGUGCAAGGGAGUCCGGCAAGAAGUGUGGCGCACCCGAGUUGCUGCCACUGCUUUUUGGAUCACCCAGCACGGUCUUCUGAAGUCUUCGUGAAAGCACUCCCUGGUGAUCUGUGAGCCCUUGGUCGUGUUGCCCGCCUUCUCCUGUGGGUCUUGCUGGAUGCUCAUUGUCCCUGUGAGCCGAGGCCCUGGAGGCUUCAGAUUUAGGUGAAGUUGCCACGUAUGACUGUCCAUCAGCCAGGAGAUGAACCCCCACCCGUGAGGCAGUGACUCAAGGUGCAAGGGAGUCCGGCAAGAAGUGUGGCGCACCCGAGUUGCUGCCACUGCUUUUUGGAUCACCCAGCACGUGACGCAUCAACCUUUGAGGACCACCACAGUUGUGAUAGACAUUGCUCAUUGGUUGGCAUACCAAGGCUGCCUCAAUGUAGGAGACAACAGCUCCCAUGGCACUAUGGCAGAGACCUGGCACAUCCACGGUCUUCCCUGGCAGGUCUUCUGAAGUCUUCCUGAAAGCAUCCUGGUGAUCUGUGAGCCCUUGGUCGUGUUGCCCGCCUUCUUCCUGUGGGUCUUGCUGGAUGCUCAUUGUCCCUGUGAGCCGAGGCCCUGGAGGCUUCAGAUUUAGGU
rnacentral:lncRNA from 1 species